UACAUGUAACCCUGAUGUUAUUUUUCAUUGUCUGUAUUUACUGAGAGUGAAAUUAUGAUAAAAUGUUUUAUUUUAUUUAUUUUUCAUUUGAAAUAUGUUUGUUUAAUAUGUAUUGUUUUUACUUUCCUUUAUUAGAGUUUGGUUGGGGAGUACAUGCGAAAAACGUGGCAAACAUCAUUUUGGGUUGUAAGUUGAUGUACAUUGGACAGAUAAGAGACUGACAAGUUUGUGAGCCAAUCAGAUUUUUCCGAGGAGAAAGGAGACGGGAGGAAAAAAGUUUGAGAAAAGACAGCAAGAAGACGAGAGAAAGGAGAGGGAGAAAGACGCGAGUUUAACGAUAUCUUUGAGUGUUUAAAACGAGAAGCUUUCCUGUAAUCAGAAGUACUGCUCGUAUUUCUUCACUAAGGAGGCGGCUCGUUAUGACUGUGGACUGUUUCAUGAAAAUGUUGGUGAGCAUCGUCCAGUAACUUCAUGAGAAUUCGACGCGCAAACAGCCACCGCACCUGUUGUAACGUUGCAUGGAGACAUUUCGACACCGGACUCACGACCAUUUCAAUGUGAUGAAAGCAGACGUGUUUCAACGCACACUCGCAACCAGAUUGAGGUACACGCUAAACAAGUUUAUUUUAUUUUUUUGCUCUCUGGAGUGAAGGGGCCAGUUUCAGUUUAUCGGCCACUACGCACUCAAGCUCCGUAUCAGGCCUGCAACGGGGUGGGAUGUGUGUAACCAUUUGAGUGCACUAAUGAUAUUGUGACUGUUUUUUUCUUUUUCCAUUUUGAGUGUAUUUUGAAUGUGUUAAAAGCUUAAAAGGGUUAUUAGAGCUUACACAAGUUAUACAGAGUUAUAAGUUAAUUUGAUAGUAGGCUAUAACUUAGUUAAAUACAUUCAGAACAAGUGACUUAAAAUUGACAAUACUGGUGUGAUACUGUAAAAAAGGUGUUUAGUUACUGUUAAAAGUAAGGCAAUCACAGAGGGUUGUUUUGAUAUAUUUUAUUUGUUUUUUGUUUUCAUUUACAUUGUCAAAUUCAAAUUCUUGAUUUAUUUCAUUUCAUUUAAAUACAAAGUUUCAAUUUCAUUGACAUUUAAUACAACAUUUAUUGGUUUAAAUGUUUAUUUGUGAGUGUGUGGGUUAUUGCAGUUUAAAAGUAAUUUAUAAACAAUUCCUGCACUAUAAGUAAAUAGACUGCUUGCAUAAAGUGAUUCCUUGGAGGUUAAUUUAUAUUAGAAGACAGGGUUAAAAGAUCAUUUAGAAGUAAAAGAACUCAGGUCCUUAUCAAAAAACUCUAGCCUAUGCAAAUGGUUGGUGGAUAGGGGUUACAUACAUGAUUUGUAGACCACCGUCUUUAUGCACAGACGCUCACUUCUGGACCCCAUUAGUUUUAAUCCAUAACUCUGGAGCUGCAGAAAUCAUGACAACAUCGAUGAGUUAAUGACAGCAGAAGAACACACAGUAAACAAGCAGAGAAG
ensembl:lncRNA